rnacentral:rRNA from 1 species
GACGAACGCUGGCGGCGUGCUUAACACAUGCAAGUCGAACGGAGAGGCCCUUCGGGGUGCUCAAGUGGCGAACGGGUGAGUAACACGUGGGUGAUCUGCCCUGCACUUUGGGAUAAGCCUGGGAAACUGGGUCUAAUACCGAAUAGGACCGCGCUCUUCAUGGGGUGUGGUGGAAAGAAUUUCGGUUCGGGAUGGACUCGCGGCCUAUCAGCUUGUUGGUGAGGUAACGGCUCACCAAGGCGGCGACGGGUAGCCGGCCUGAGAGGGUGAUCGGCCACACUGGGACUGAGACACGGCCCAGACUCCUACGGGAGGCAGCAGUGGGGAAUAUUGCACAAUGGGCGCAAGCCUGAUGCAGCAACGCCGCGUGAGGGACGACGGCCUUCGGGUUGUAAACCUCUUUUAGUAGGGAAGAAGCGAAAGUGACGGUACCUGCAGAAAAAGCACCGGCUAACUACGUGCCAGCAGCCGCGGUAAUAC